GAUCCUCUAGAGAUUCGUAGGUGAAC
rnacentral:rRNA from 1 species